rnacentral:rRNA from 1 species
UAGCGUAGGGUGCGAGCGUUGCCCCGGAUUUAUUGGGCGUAAAGGGCGCGUAGGCGGCUCGGCACGUCCGUUGUGAAAUCGCUCGGCUCAACUGGGCGAGGUCAGCGGUAUACGGUCGAGCUUGAGCCAGCUAGGGGGCAAUGGAAUUCCCGGUGUAGUGGUGGAAUGCGUAGAUAUCGGAGGAACACCAGUGGCGAAGGCGGUUGCCUGGGGCUGUGCUGACGCUGAUGCGCGAAAGCGUGGGGAGCGAUCCGG